GACGAACGCUGGCGGCGUGCCUAAUACAUGCAAGUAGAACGCUGAAGAGAGGAGCUUGCUCUUCUUGAAUGAGUUGCGAACGGGUGAGUAACGCGUAGGUAACCUGCCUUGUAGCGGGGGAUAACUAUUGGAAACGAUAGCUAAUACCGCAUAACGAUGGGUGACACAUGUCAUUUAUUUGAAAGGGGCAAUUGCUCCACUACAAGAUGGACCUGCGUUGUAUUAGCUAGUAGGUGAGGUAACGGCUCACCUAGGCGACGAUACAUAGCCGACCUGAGAGGGUGAUCGGCCACACUGGGACUGAGACACGGCCCAGACUCCUACGGGAGGCAGCAGUAGGGAAUCUUCGGCAAUGGGGGCAACCCUGACCGAGCAACGCCGCGUGAGUGAAGAAGGUUUUCGGAUCGUAAAGCUCUGUUGUAAGUCAAGAACGAGUGUGAGAGUGGAAAGUUCACACUGUGACGGUAGCUUACCAGAAAGGGACGGCUAACUACGUGCCAGCAGCCGCGGUAAUACGUAGGUCCCGAGCGUUGUCCGGAUUUAUUGGGCGUAAAGCGAGCGCAGGCGGUUUGAUGAGUCUGAAGUUAAAGGCUGUGGCUCAACCAUAGUUCGCUUUGGAAACUGUCAAACUUGAGUGCAGAAGGGGAGAGUGGAAUUCCAUGUGUAGCGGUGAAAUGCGUAGAUAUAUGGAGGAACACCGGUGGCGAAAGCGGCUCUCUGGUCUGUAACUGACGCUGAGGCUCGAAAGCGUGGGGAGCGAACAGGAUUAGAUACCCUGGUAGUCCACGCCGUAAACGAUGAGUGCUAGGUGUUGGAUCCUUUCCGGGAUUCAGUGCCGCAGCUAACGCAUUAAGCACUCCGCCUGGGGAGUACGACCGCAAGGUUGAAACUCAAAGGAAUUGACGGGGGCCCGCACAAGCGGUGGAGCAUGUGGUUUAAUUCGAAGCAACGCGAAGAACCUUACCAGGUCUUGACAUCCCGAUGCUAUUUCUAGAGAUAGAAAGUUACUUCGGUACAUCGGUGACAGGUGGUGCAUGGUUGUCGUCAGCUCGUGUCGUGAGAUGUUGGGUUAAGUCCCGCAACGAGCGCAACCCCUAUUGUUAGUUGCCAUCAUUCAGUUGGGCACUCUAGCGAGACUGCCGGUAAUAAACCGGAGGAAGGUGGGGAUGACGUCAAAUCAUCAUGCCCCUUAUGACCUGGGCUACACACGUGCUACAAUGGUUGGUACAACGAGUUGCGAGUCGGUGACGGCAAGCUAAUCUCUUAAAGCCAAUCUCAGUUCGGAUUGUAGGCUGCAACUCGCCUACAUGAAGUCGGAAUCGCUAGUAAUCGCGGAUCAGCACGCCGCGGUGAAUACGUUCCCGGGCCU
rnacentral:rRNA from 1 species